GUCCUAAGGUAGAAUUUUCUGCCCAUUGAAGCGGUGACGUUUCAAUUGCAUCUUGCUAUAUGCUGGAACAUCUGAGUAUCUGGUGGUACUCGUUCGAAUCUCUGAUUCGUUCAGUAAAAAUCCAACCAGUGCAGACAAUCAGCAGGAAACCAAUUCAUUGGUUGUGACUUGUCACAGCUAACAUUGUUGGGAUCCUCAGAGACUAAACGCAAGACAACUUCUUUCCGUGAAGACUACGACGUAACUGACGUGGUUGGAAUUGAGUUGAAGAUAUAGUCCGAGCUGCAUGGCGACAUGCAG
rnacentral:ncRNA from 1 species